AAAUCUCAACCUUCUCGGUUUCUUCUGGACACCAAAGGAGGCUUGGACUUUGGAGGCCUUUGCUGGCGUCUCUCUCUUUUGAGAGGCCAGCUCCUCUCAAAUGAAUUAGCGGGGUCCUCUUUGCCGGUCCUCGACAUGUGAUAAGAUGCUUCCAUGUCUUGGUUUAUGGCUCUGUUGCCUUUGGGACCCGCUUCUAAUCGUCUAAAGACAAUGUUUGAGCACGUCUCCCUUCUCAGGAAACACUCUCAAACCCACGAAC
rnacentral:misc_RNA from 1 species